AACGAACGCUGGCGGCAUGCUUAACACAUGCAAGUCGAACGCCUGUCCGGGCUUCGGUUCGGGGAGGAGUGGCGCACGGGUGAGUAGCGCGUGGGAACCUGCCCUGUUGUGGGGGGAUAACCGAGGGAAACUUCGGCUAAUACCGCAUACGCCGGGGGUCUUGAGAGAGGCUUUCGGGAAAGAUUUAUCGCAAUAGGAGGGGCCCGCGUCGGAUUAGCUAGUUGGUGGGGUAACGGCCUACCAAGGCAGUGANCCGUAGCUGGUCUGAGAGGAUGAUCAGCCACACUGGGACUGAGACACGGCCCAGACUCCUACCGGGAGGCAGCAGUGGGGAAUCUUGGACAAUGGGCGCAAGCCUGAUCCAGCCAUGCCGCGUGGGUGAAGAAGGCC
rnacentral:rRNA from 1 species